CCGCCUGGAAUUAAGCAUAUCAAUAAGCGGAGGAAAAGAAACCAACAGGGAUUGCUCUAGUAACGGCGAGUGAAGCAGCAAUAGCUCAAAUUUGAAAUCUGGCGUCUUCGACGUCCGAGUUGUAAUUUGUAGAGGAUGCUUCUGAGUAACCACCGACCUAAGUUCCUUGGAACAGGACGUCAUAGAGGGUGAGAAUCCCGUAUGCGGUCGGAAAGGUGCUCUACACGUAGCUCCUUCGACGAGUCGAGUUGUUUGGGAAUGCAGCUCUAAAUGGGAGGUAAAUUUCUUCUAAAGCUAAAUAUUGGCCAGAGACCGAUAGCGCACAAGUAGAGUGAUCGAAAGAUGAAAAGCACUUUGGAAAGAGAGUUAAAAAGCACGUGAAAUUGUUAAAAGGGAAGGGAUUGCAACCAGACUUGCUCGCGGUGUUCCGCCGGUCUUCUGACCGGUCUACUCGCCGCGUUGCAGGCCAGCAUCGUCUGGUGCCGCUGGAUAAGACUUGAGGAAUGUAGCUCCCUCGGGAGUGUUAUAGCCUCUUGUGAUGCAGCGAGCGCCGGGCGAGGUCCGCGCUUCGGCUAGGAUGCUGGCGUAAUGGUCGUAAUCCGCCCGUCUUGAAACACGGACCAAGGAGUCUAACAUCUAUGCGAUGUUUGGG
rnacentral:rRNA from 1 species